rnacentral:rRNA from 1 species
AGCGAACGCUGGCGGCAUGCUUAACACAUGCAAGUCUCACGGGCAGCAAUGUCAGUGGCGGACGGGUGAGUAACGCGUAGGUAUCUAUCCUUUGGUGGGGGACAACCGUUGGAAACGACGGCUAAUACCGCAUGAGGCCUGAGGGCGAAAGCAGUGAUGCGCCGAAGGAGGAGCCUGCGUCCGAUUAGCUAGUUGGUGGGGUAAUGGCCUACCAAGGCUGCGAUCGGUAGCUGGUCUGAGAGGAUGAUCAGCCACACUGGGACUGAGACACGGCCCA